rnacentral:rRNA from 1 species
AACGCGAAGAACCUUACCCAGGCUGGACAUGCAGGUAGUAGAAGGGUGAAAGCCCAACGAGGUAGCAAUACCAUCCUGCUCAGGUGCUGCAUGGCUGUCGUCAGCUCGUGCCGUGAGGUGUUGGGUUAAGUCCAGCAACGAGCGCAACCCUUAUCAUUAGUUGCCAACACUUAGGGUGGGAACUCUAAUGAGACUGCCUGGGUUAACCAGGAGGAAGGUGAGGAUGACGUCAAGUCCGCAUGGCCCUUAUGUCUGGGGCUACACACGUGCUACAAUGGUCGGUACAGAAGGCAGCGAAACCGUGAGGUGAAGCAAAUCCCCAAAGCCGAUCCCAGUUCAGAUUGUAGUCUGCAACUCGACUGCAUGAAGAUGGAAUUGCUAGUAAUGGCAGGUCAGCACACUGCCGUGAAUACGUUCCCGGGCCUUGUACACACCGAGCGUA